rnacentral:tRNA from 1 species
CUGGUUCUGGAGUGGCUCGUUGUUCGGUGGGUUGGCAACUCACCGAGAGCGCCGAAUACCAGGAGUUGUGGUCCAUUCAUGAGGACUUGC